rnacentral:rRNA from 1 species
UACGUAGGGCGCAAGCGUUAUCCGGAAUUAUUGGGCGUAAAGAGCUCGUAGGCGGUUUGUCGCGUCUGCCGUGAAAGUCCGGGGCUCAACCCCGGAUCUGCCGUGCCGACUGUCAAACUCGAGGGCUGUAGAGGCAGACGGAAUUCUCGGUGUAGAGGUGAAAUUCGUAGAUAUCGAGAGGAACACCGGUGGCGAAGGCGGCUCACUGGCCCGGUACUGACGCUGAGGUGCGAAAGCGUGGGGAGCAAACAGG